rnacentral:rRNA from 1 species
CCCUUAGAUGUCCUGGGCCGCACGCGUGCUACACUGACGCCUACAGCGAGUACUUCCCAGCCCCGAGAGGCGGCUGGUAAUCAGCAAUAGGCGUCGUGAUGGGGAUAGAUCUUUGGAAUUCUGGAUCUUGAACGAGGAAUGCCUAGUAAGCGCAGGUCAUUAGCCUGCGCUGAUUACGUCCCUGCCCUUUGUACACACCGCCCGUCGCUCCUACCGAUUUCGAGUGGUCCGGUGAAUCUUUCGGACUGCGCGCAGCUUCGUGCCGUGUCGCGGAAAGUCAGGUAAACCUAAUCACUUAGAGGAAGGACAAGUCGUAACG